CCUACGGGAGGCAGCAGUGGGGAAUAUUGCACAAUGGGGGAAACCCUGAUGCAGCGACGCCGCGUGAGUGAAGAAGUAAUUCGUUAUGUAAAGCCCUAUCGGCAGGGAAGAAGCAAUACGUUACCUGACUAAGAAGCCCCUGCUAACUACGUGCCAGCAGCCGCGGUAAUACGUAAGGGGCGAGCGUUAUCCGGAGUUAUUGGGUUUAAAGGGUGCGUAGGCUGUAAGGUAAGUCAACGGUGAAAUGCCCCCGCUGAACGGGGUAAAGUGCCAUUGAUACUGCCUUGCUGGAAUGCGGUUGCCGUGGGAGGAAUGUGUGGUGUAGCGGUGAAAUGCAUAGAUAUCACACAGAACACCGAUUGCGAAGGCAUCUCACGAAUCCGCGAUUGACGCUGAUGCACGAAAGCGUGGGUAUCAAACAGGAUUAGAUACCCGAGUAGUC
rnacentral:rRNA from 1 species